AACGAGGUCUGGUUUCCAGAAAUGGGCACUAUUUCCGGACGAUGUUUGUAGAGGGGCGGCUGCUGGGCUGGCGGACUGACAGAAGGCGGAGGCGCCUCGGGUGUUGGUGGAACCACACAUGCGCCCUCGGCUUCUGGCAGUCUUACCGGCUGCGUUCUUCUCGAGGUUACGGGAAGGAAGGGCGAGUGUGCGCAUGCGUGGGCACUCCCAGCCUCUGACUUCGGUUACCUUGGAGACAGCGAGGCGCUCUCCCUCGUGGGUCGUGCGCAUUCCGCUUCGUCUCUGCAGCCAGGCGGUGGCGGCUGAGGCGGGAGCUGGUAGGGGUAGAGACGUUUUUACUGAACUCUUACUGUGUGUCUGAUGCUGUAGAGUUCCUGGAAUGAGUAAAGAAGGUUACAGUGUCUGCCCUCGAGAAGCUUGGGGAGCCAAAGGCCUAGAUGGGCCCUACCUGUGGGUUGUAACCCAGGUACAAAGAGAGCGUGUGGGUGCGUGGUACACCCCUUCCACCGCCGGAGAGGCAGCGUGGUACGAGCGCUGAGCAAAGCAUCUGCUCGAUGGGUUUGCGACCACAAAGGCGGCAAGAGGCUGAGAGCUUAAUGUAUGCAAAGAAAGGACCUGGAGUUCGGAAUAUGCAUCGAGGCCGGGCGUGGUGGCUCAGUCCUCCCAGCGCUUUGGGGGGCCAAGGCAGGAGGAUCUCUUGAGGCCAGGAGUUGGAGAACAGCCUGGGCAAUAUAGCAGAGAUCACAUCUAUGCAAAAAAUAAAAGAAUAAGCGGGUCAUGGUCGUUCGCACCUGCAGCCCCAGCCAGAGAGGAGGCCGAAGCCGGAGGAUUGCUUGAGCCCAAGAGUUUGAGGCUACAGUGAGCCAUGAUCGUGCCAUUGCACUCCAGCCUGGGUAACAGAGUGAGGAAGUCUUUAAAAUAAAUCAAAACUUAAAUUUUUUUGUUUGCAAAAUAAAAGAUGUGCUCCUA